UAUGAUACCAACAAGCAUCGUCGAUUCGUGUUCCUGCGGGAGAACACGAGGUUCUAUUUUCGCCAUCAAAAGAGGUGCAGCGUGGGAUACUGUUCGCAUCGCGGGGUUUCCGCGGCGCGGUGCUUUAGUACCAUCAGCCUCGUCGUUUCGCGCGGAACUUGGACGCCCGGAAUAGUUCCGUCGCGCUGUAAAAGUUUUUCGCCGCACGCCGAAAUCGGAACGCGGCUGGUGGCCGCAUAGUAGACAAACCGUGGUGUUUGUCGCUGCCUCCCAUAGCCGUUCGCAGCGAGACCUCUUCGAGAUUGGAAGCACGUUUCUCAAUUUUUGUUGGAAGUGGAUACGGAAAACGUCAGGAUGGACGAGACGGACGCGCUGAUGAGGACUGAUGACGGCAUCAUCAACAGCAACGAUGCUGAGGCGCCCACCGUCGAGGAGACGUACGAAAUGACCACUACCAGACGCAAAACUAUCCGCACCAGCUAUAAGAUCCAGGAGACUUCCUCGUCAACCAAGACAACUACCAUGACGACAGCAGCCAAGCUGUAUGGCAAGGAUCUGAGCGAGUAUGAUGACAUUGAUGUGGAUCAAUUAUUGUCAGAGCUUACGCCAGAGGAACUAAAUAUACUGGCCAAGGAAGUGGAUCCUGAUGACAGCUUUAUGCCUCCUUCGCAACGUUGCAGUUACGAAUGCAACAAGAGUCCUACAGGGCCACUGAAUCGAAAGAAACUCAUUGAACAUAUUAACAAGCAAGCUCUAGAGACACCUGAUAUUCCAGAAUUGAAACCAUAUGUACCUGGUGUAAUUAGAGGAAAAAAAUGGAUGCCGCCGCCACAAGAGAACAUAAAAGAAAAGGAAGCAGAGGAACAAAUCGCGAUAGAUCUUGGGGAUGAAUAUGAACAAGCGCUUUCGGCUGCCACCCAAGAAGAAAUCAUUGACCUUGCUGCUAUCCUUGGAUUUCAUUCUAUGAUGAAUCAAGAUCAAUAUCAUGCGUCUCUACUGAAUUCUGGACAACCGGUCGGACUCGGCUGGGAUGGAGUGACGAAAGCUAGUAAACCGAAAGUUUAUCCGAUGGAACCGCCCAACGACACGGAUGUCGAUGCUACCAUUAAACAAGUGCGAGAUGAUGACUCCAAUCUGAGUGACUUAAAUUGGAAUAAUAUUAAAAAUAUUUCGGACGAAAAAUUCAUACAAUUGUUUGAAGGAUUGGAAAUGAACACACAUCUUGAAUCGCUAAGUUUAACCAACGUUGGACUCAACGACAAGACCGCACAACGGCUUGCUGAUGCUUUAGAAAAGAAUUCGACACUCAAAGUACUCAACGUGGAGACGAAUUUCAUAAGCCCACCUGUGAUAGUAAGGCUGAUCAGGUCCCUCCUUAAGACAAAAUCCAUCGAAGAAUUUCGAUGUUCGAAUCAGAGAUCGCAAGUACUGGGUAACAAGAUUGAGAUGGAAAUUACGCAAUUGGUAGAACAAAACCCAACGUUGCUACGGCUUGGGUUACAUCUGGAAUUCAAUGAUGCUAGACAUCGCGUGGCUGCGCAUUUGCAACGCAACAUUGACAGGAUACGGAAAGAUCUAUCGUUGCGGCUACAGUUCCGAUUCUUUAACAUGAACCACAGGAAACCUGCCUUGAUUCAAUGAAAGUACGGCAGUCCCGGCUCGGGGUGGCGACAUCUUAACGCGAAGUGGCGUUCGCCUAGGUAUCUUAUUUUGUACAUAUAUAUAAUAUACACACACACACAUAUACUAUAUAUAUUAUAUAUAAAUGUAUACUAUUCUUUCGCGCACAUAUAUCGACUGAUCUCAUUGCCGCCUAUGUCACCGCUUUAAAGGCUUAAUCUACUUAUCCUGUCGUUUGCCAAGACAAUUGUUGUGUCUCUCGCGAGGAAACGCGAACGAAAAUGGGACGACGACGACGAGAUAUGAAACAGCAUGCUUACAUUACUUGACUCUAUUCGCUGUGUGUACAAUAUAUAGUGAAUCGAAAAAUUCUUUAUUUUGGAGGGUUUUGAUCCUCGGACUUAUAACCAUAGUGACCGACUCUCUUAAAGAAGUCAAGAUGUAUGGCAAAUAUUUAUAACUGCAAUUAAAAAAAAUAAUGCAAUAUAAUAGUAAAUUUAAGCAAAGCUUCUAAGAAUUCUGUUUUUUUCGAAUUUAGACUCUCACUGUAAAUUUCAUCUACAGCUAGUUUGAUUAAUUUACACAUUCGCGAAUCGUUGAAUAAGUUAUACGACGAUUGAUACUCUUAAUGGUCAUUCUAUAAUUGAAGAAACAUCUAUCAGCUUAAAUUUAAAGAUUAUAUUGCCCAGAUUAAUUUACAUUGCCAAUCGACAUUCUUAAUAAUCAUUAUAAAUUUAAGCGAUACAUGAGAUCGUUUCUUCAAAUUUAGAACAAUUCUAAACAAUUUUAUUUACAGUUGGUUACGUACAGAUGAAUUUAGAUAUUGUGAUGAUCAAUAUUUAUUUUUAAUGAUUAUAUUCUAUAAUAAGUUUAGAGGAAACGUCAGAUUUAAAACGACGAUUCCUUCCAAUUUAGACUGUCAUUCUAAAUUUGUAGCUCAUCAGAUUAGUCGAGUAAUUUCCGAAUUAUUUAUAACAUUGCAAUUGGAUGUUCUUAUUGAUUAUUCUAUUUACAAAUCGCUAUCUCGCGAUGGACUAUCGAGUAUCUUUCGGAAUAACCGCACGGUGAUGAUGCUGGGAGCGAAAUUUGCAUAGGAUCAACGACUGCGGAGAGGAUAUUUUAUCGGAUAUGUGUCGUUGAUGUGGGGACUUGUUGUCGCGCAUGGCAAUCGUCGAGAUCGAAACAACACGCAACGUACCCCGCCGACUACUGUCGCUUAAUCGCAUUUCUCCGUUUCUCGUUUGCCCGCCGUUUCCUCCCCCUGCUGUUUUACAUCCCUCUGUGCGACGCUGUGCAUAUUCGCCGUCCACGUUGCAUCGCCUGCGUCGCAUGGGAAGAGUUUCCCGCAACUACACCAUCGGCUGGGCCAUGCAUUGAUGAAGAUCGCCACAAUGAUGGCAACGACGACGAUGACGAAGACGAUAAUACGCCAAUGAUCGCGCGCGAGUUUCUUAAAGCGCCGUAAAACGGUCUGUACACAUACACAUAUGGUAUUAUAUCACAGCGCAAUAUCGAAUUUAAAAUUUUUUUUAUAUAAUUUGGAUCCUCCGUAUCUUGAAAUCGUCGCGAUUUACGUCGUUUGAUACAAAAUACUCGUUCGCGGAGGAAAAAUCGGAAGCUUCGCAUGCGAUAAAUUACGCGUGAAUAUCUCUCGUCUUUGUUGCUCUAAAAAAAAA